rnacentral:rRNA from 14 species
UAGGGCAAGGCCACCAUAAGAACACCCAGUCUUGUCUGAUCUCGGAAGCUAAGCAGGGUCCAGGUUGGGUCUUGUCUAAG